rnacentral:rRNA from 1 species
UACGUAGGGUGCAAGCGUUGUCCGGAAUCAUUGGGCGUAAAGCGCGUGUAGGCGGCUCGGUAAGUCCGCUCUGAAAGUCCAGGGCUCAACCCUGGGAUGCGGGUGGAUACUGCCGAGCUCGAGUCCGGAAGAGGCGAGUGGAAUUCCUGGUGUAGCGGUGAAAUGCGCAGAUAUCAGGAGGAACACCUAUGGCGAAGGCAGCUCGCUGGGACGUGACUGACGCUGAGACGCGAAAGCGUGGGGAGCAAACAGG